rnacentral:rRNA from 1 species
UAUACAGCGAAACUGCGAAUGGCUCAUUAUAUAAGUUAUCGUUUAUUUGAUAGUGCCUUACUACUUGGAUAACCGUGGUAAUUCUAGAGCUAAUACAUGCUAAAAACCCCGACUUCGGAAGGGGUGUAUUUAUUAGAUACAAAACCAAUGCCCUUCGGGGCUCUUUGGUGAUUCAUGAUAACUAUACGAAUCGCACGGCCUUGCGCCGGCGAUGGUUCAUUCAAAUUUCUUCCCUAUCAACUUUCGAUGUUUGGGUAUUGGCCAAACAUGGUUGCAACGGGUAACGGAGGGUUAGGGCUCGACCCCGGAGAAGGAGCCUGAGAAACGGCUACUACAUCCAAGGAAGGCAGCAGGCGCGCAAAUUACCCAAUCCCGACUCGGGGAGGUAGUGACAAUAAAUACUGAUACAGGGCCCUUUCGGGCCUUGUAAUUGUCACGCGCACACUUCAAAUCCCUUAACGAGGAACAAUUGGAGGGCAAGUCUGGUGCCAGCAGCCGCGGUAAUUCCAGCUCCAAUAGCGUAUAU